AGAGUUUGAUCCUGGCUCAGAGUGAACGCUGGCGGCAGGCCUAAUACAUGCAAGUCGAACGGCAGCACAGCAGAGCUUGCUCUGUGGGUGGCGAGUGGCGGACGGGUGAGGAAUACGUGGGAAUCUGCCCAGUCGUGGGGGAUAACGUAGAGAAACUUACGCUAAUACCGCAUGCGCCCUUCGGGGAAAGCCGGGGACCUUCGGGCCUGGCGCGAUUGGAUGAGCCCACGUCGGAUUAGCUAGUUGGCGGGGUAAAGGCCCACCAAGGCGACGAUCCGUAGCUGGUCUGAGAGGAUGAUCAGCCACACUGGAACUGAGACACGGUCCAGACUCCUACGGGAGGCAGCAGUAGGGAAUAUUGGACAAUGGGCGCAAGCCUGAUCCAGCCAUGCCGCGUGAGUGAAGAAGGCCCUCGGGUUGUAAAGCUCUUUUGUCCGGAAAGAAAAGCGCCGGGUUAAUACCCUGGUGUCCUGACGGUACCGGAAGAAUAAGCACCGGCUAACUUCGUG
rnacentral:rRNA from 1 species